GUCCUCCUGUAACCAUGGUUACGGGAGUUUGUUGCAAGAAGUGUUGUGAAUCUCGCUGAGACAGGGAACCACUGAGAGCCUCAGAUGAACCAGUCAGUCAGGUUGCUGUCUCCACUUCUCCUCCUCCUCCUUCGUCCCCUUUGUUUUUUAAGUACCUGUUAGGAUUCUUUAGCUAGUUAGCAUCACAUUAGCUAGUUAGCAUCACAUUAGCAAACUGCUUCGGAGCACAGCUGCCGGAGUCGCGGGUUUUGUUGAAUCAGGCGUUGGACCUGCUGGAGGAAUGCUCUGCGAUGAUGGUGGAAAACAGCCGCCAUUCAACCCAUUUGAGAGCUUCAAAGAACUGGCUGCAGUUUCUGUUCCUGUCCGAGGUUUGCAGUGGAGAGCUCAGACCACACAGGACCGCCUCACCCUCAGAACAUCUCCACCACCCUGCCCACUGUUAAGAUGAUUGUCGAGGUGAGUCACUCGGCGUGUGUGAUGACCACCGCCGUCAUCUGUAAGCUGCUGCGCUCCAAAGAGGCCAUGGCCACGAUGGACAUCAGGAACUGGCCCCCAGUGCUGGACACCGUCUGGGCCCAAUCUGCCAGCUUACCCAGGGGAACACGAAGGCGUUCUCAUGCUAGCCAAUAGAUGUAAUCCCUCCUGCGAGUCUGUUCUGGGCCUCCAACUGGUAGGACAUGCCCAAAACACUCCUCCCAGCAGAAGCCUUUGUCAGAUGCUUGAACCAAAGAACUGGUUCCUUUGAAUGUGGCAGAGCAGUAACUCGAAUUCACUCUGCUCGAUCAAGCUGCUCACCCUACCUUUAAGAAAGAGCCCAGUUACCCAUCAGAGGAAACUCAUUUUCAUUGUUUUAUAUGUGAUGUCAUUGUUUUGGUCAGUACCCAGAGCUUGUAACCAUAAGUGAAGGUAGGAACAUAGAUCAGAUACUGUCCCAGUAUACCCUGGAGGUCGCCACCUGAUGAAGCUGACACGAAGCCUGCAAAAAGACAACCACAGUGGAGACCCUCAACAACCUGGUAUCGCUAGAAUGUGUCCAUAAAAACCAGAAACAGAAUCUAUGACAAAGAAAGAAGAGGUCCGACUUCUCCCCGGCUGUACAGGGACCUCAUACUCCCCAAGGACCCUGACAGGAUCACCAUGUACACAUGAAUAGGACCCUAUCCCUACUUUUAUGGCAGAACUGCAUUGAACGAGCAGCCUGACAUGUUUCUUAUGGACAUGU